AGACAGAGGUAUCAAAUUUUGCCUCAUUCUCCCUGCUCUGAUCAUGUCCAAACCACAGUAUCUCUCUCCUCCUUAAUAUAGAGAUGUUAGAUACAUCUUUGAUCUCUCCCUCAAGGAGCUCACUCUAUGGUUCAACUUCUAAAAUUAUUUUAGUAAUUCUCAAAGAGGCCUGCUGUAUGACAGGUUCCAUGCUUGGCUUGAAUGAUAAACAGGUGAUUAUGCCACGGUCUGCAGGAGACCCAGACAAAUAAGUCGAAAUCACGGCAUAAACUUGUAUAAUAUGGGCAGAAACUGAGUUAAUCUCAAAGAGCACUGAGAAGGGUGCCUAAAUCAGAAGGGGACUGGGAGGUUUCCUGCAAAUGGUAAUUCUGAUCCUAAAUCUUGAAGGGGGCCAGGAGAAGAAGAAGAAGUUGGGUCAAAGGAGAUUACAAACAGAGGAACAGAAAGUGCAUGAAAUUACAGGAGAGUCAGAGGACAAGUUCAAACUGAGCAGAAUGAAGGGGAUUGUGAAACAUUUGGGCUAGAGAGGCAGGCAGGGAUGUGCUCAUGAGAGGAUCUAAACUUGAUCCUGAAAACCAGAGACCCAUGGUAUUAUUUUAAGCAGAAGUGUGACAGCAUAAGAUUUAGAAAGAUCAUUGCUGGGGUAAACAAGUCAGUGCUUAGAAGUCUUGUUAUUUUUGAAGGUGAACUAAAAAGGACUCCAAAGAAUGUGCUAGGGAACAUAAGGAAGAAGGAAACUAUCCACUUCCCUUAUCUCCAGUAUUUGUGUAGGUAUCAAAGCAGAACAAACUCAGUUGUGAAGUAAAGUCAUGUGCUCAUCAAACAUUUGAAGAAACCUUUAUGUGUAGUUGAUGUGCAAUCUGUCCUGUGUCUUGUUCCCCUUUGCCUGUAGGCAUGGUGUAGCCCCCAGUUUAUUCCAAACUGUGGCGCCAAGGUUUACCUGAAUAGUAAAAUGGCCAAACAUUCUCUGCUGAGUCCUCCAAGUUCUUUUUGGGGGGAUUGGAAUAUAUUAUACUGGGGCCUUUACAGCCCUGGGGUUAAGCCAUCACUCUGGCAGUAGCGUGAAG
rnacentral:lncRNA from 1 species